AUUUUGGAUAUGGGGGCUGUUAUAAAUGAAUUCUUAUUUCACUGCGGCAAUGUGUAGACAUUUUAUCACUGGAACGCUCCUGUUAUAAUCCGCUAAUUACACUCUUUGCUAAUUAAUGGCAUUACUAUUAUUUACCAUGUACCUGUCCGAUACUUGGAUCUUUAUUUAGCUCCAUUUAGUGAACGUGGGUCUUGGCGGGGAUUGCUCUUCCUAUAUAAUGUUG